rnacentral:lncRNA from 1 species
CGGUCACUCACUGCAGUGAGUACUGAGUUAUAUUUUUUCAGAUUCUGCCCCGAGCUCUCGGUAUCGGGAAGGUGUGAUGAACAGUGCGGUUUGAUCGGAUCUCCAAAAACUCAAAACUGGAAUCACUGAAGCUUAUCCUUGAUAUAGCGGAGCGCUAUGGCCUGCCUAUUGAAAGGUGGAGCUUAUCGAAGCUUGGGAUCUAUCGCAGAUUUACGUUUCCUUGCAGGCAUUUAGCAGAGGAGCUUUCACAGAACAGCCUUAACAUGCUGAAUGGCUUGUUACACAUGACAGAUAUUUGUGGAAUUCCCCUCCUUUUGAAGUUACUGCCAUUAUUCAGAAAAAAAGGUGUGUGAAGUAUUUGUGUU